CAGCCGCCGCGGGAAUACGAAGGGUGCAAGCGUUAAUCGGAAUUACUGGGCGUAAAGCGUGCGUAGGCGGUUUGUUAAGUCUGUUGUGAAAUCCCCGGGCUCAACCUGGGAAUGGCAAUGGAUACUGGCAAGCUAGAGUGUGUCAGAGGAUGGUGGAAUUCCCGGUGUAGCGGUGAAAUGCGUAGAGAUCGGGAGGAACAUCAGUGGCGAAGGCGGCCAUCUGGGACAACACUGGCGCUGAGGCACGAAAGCGUGGGGAGCAAACAGGAUUAGAUACCCCAGUAGUCCCUGUCUCUUAUAC
rnacentral:rRNA from 1 species